rnacentral:rRNA from 1 species
ACGGGAGGCAGCAGUGGUGAAUAUUCCAGCAAUGGACGAAAGCCUGACGGAGCAACGCCGCGUGAGUGAUGAAGGCUUUCGGGUCGUAAAACUCUGUUGUUAGGGAAGAACAAGUGCUAGUUGAAUAAGCUGGCACCUUGACGGUACCUAACCAGAAAGCCACGGCUAACUACGUGCCAGCAGCCGCGGUAAAUA